UACAGAGGUCUCAAGCGUUGUUCGGAUUCAUUGGGCGUAAAGGGUGCGUAGGCGGCGCGGUAAGUCGGGUGUGAAAGUCAAAGGCUCAACCUUUGAAUGCCGGUGGAUACUGUCGGGCUAGAGUCCGGAAGAGGCGAGUGGAAUUCCUGGUGUAGCGGUGGAAUGCGCAGAUAUCAGGAGGAACACCAAUAGCGAAGGCAGCUCGCUGGGACGGUACUGACGCUGAGGCGCGAAAGCGUGGGGAGCGAACAGG
rnacentral:rRNA from 1 species